rnacentral:rRNA from 1 species
GAUGAACGCUGGCGGCGUGCCUAACACAUGCAAGUCGAACGAACAGACGAGGAGUUUGCUCCUCUGACGUUAGCCGCGGACGUGUGUGUAACACGUGGAUAACCCCCCUAUAAGACUGUGAUCACUUCGAGACACCGGCGCUAAUACCGGAUAAUAUCUUGAACCACAUGGUUCAAUAGUGACAUACGGCUUUGCUGUCACUUAUAGAUGGAUCCGCGCCGCAUUAGCUAGUUGGUAAGGUAACGGCUUACCAAGGCAACGAUGCGUAGCCGACCGGAGAGGGUGAUCGGCCACACUGGAACUGAGACACGGUCCAGACUCCUACGGGAGGCAGCAGUAGGGAAUCUUAGGCAAUGGGCGAAAGCAUGACGGAGCAACGCCGCGUGAGUGAUGAAGGUCUUCGGAUCGUAAAGCUCUGUUAUUAGGGAAGAACAAAUGUGUAAGUAGAUGUGCAGGGCUUGACGGUACCGGAUCAGAAAGCAACGGCUAACUACGUG